rnacentral:rRNA from 1 species
UACGGAGGAUGCAAGCGUUAUCCGGAUUCAUUGGGUUUAAAGGGUGCGUAGGCGGGCUAUUAAGUCAGUGGUGAAAUCCUGCAGCUUAACUGCAGAACUGCCGUUGAUACUGAUAGUCUUGAGUUUGGUUAAGGUAGGCGGAAUGUGUAAUGUAGCGGUGAAAUGAUUAGAUAUUACACAGAACACCAAUUGCGUAGGCAGCUUACUGAGCCGACACUGACGCUGAGGCACGAAAGCGUGGGGAUCGAACAGGAUUA